rnacentral:lncRNA from 1 species
AGUGGAGCUGGCCUCCACUCUGCUGGUUGCCUUCAGGGGACUGGGAAAUUUGCUGUACAGGAAACAAAGGAGGAAACUACUCAGUAAAGGACUAGAAAGACGACAUUUCCUCAAAACUGAGGUUAAGUCCAACUGUCACAAAAGUGACUGUUGGCCCUACUAAGCCUGCAGAAGACCGUGCUGAGGGGAGUGAGGGUGUUUCGGAUCUGCAGGAGGUGGUCUCCCUAAAGGAGAGGAUGGCGAAGUACCAGGCAGCUGUUUCCAGGGGUGACUGCCGCAGCUUCUCAGCUAAUCUGAUGGAAGAAUCAGAAAUGUGCACAGUGCCUGGUGGUUUGGCCAAGGUGAAGAAACAAUUUGAGAAGGACAAAAUUUCUUCUUCCUGUAAUACCUUUUCUCAGUACCAGUAUCAACACCAGAACAGAUCCGAGAAGGUAAUGCCACUGUGGGUGGUGAUUACAUCAUGUGUGCUUAAAUU